rnacentral:misc_RNA from 1 species
UGUGUGCCAAUUGGUCCCAUUUAAAUUUAUUUGAGAUCUAACAACUACUUUUCGAGUUAUAUCUAAUAAUGCGUUUUUACUUGACGCUUUUUUCGUCAACCUACGUUGUAUUAUACCGCAUAACUUUUUACUGGAUGUACCGAUUUUGAUAAUUCUUUUUUUGUUGGAAAGGGGAUAUCCCUAGUUUGAUAAGGUAACUAGGAUCUGAUGAUGGGAUCCUAGAGAAAUCGAGGGAAACUCUCGAAAAUUCGCAAUAACUUUU